rnacentral:sRNA from 1 species
AGCAAUAUGUCGUGUCCAGUUAGGGAGC